rnacentral:rRNA from 1 species
UCGAGAAUCAUUCACAAUGGGCGAAAGCCUGAUGGUGUGACGCCGCGUGGAGGAUGAAGGUCUUCGGAUUGUAAACUCCUGUCAAGUGAGAGUAAAGCCGGGCGUUAACUGCGAGCCGGUUUGAGAGUAUCACUAGAGGAAGAGACGGCUAACUCUGUGCCAGCAGCCGCGGUAAUACAGAGGUCUCAAGCGUUGUUCGGAAUCACUGGGCGUAAAGGGUGCGUAGGCUGCACGGUAAGUCAGAUGUGAAAGCCCGGAGCUCAACUUCGGAAUUGCAUCCGAUACUGCCGUGCUUGAGGACUGGAGAGGAGAUUGGAAUUCACAGUGGAGCAGUGAAAUGCGUAGAUAUUGUGAGGAACACUAGUGGCGAAGGCGAAUCUCUGGACAGUUCCUGACGCUGAGGCACGAAGGCCAGGGGAGCAAACG